AGGCGACGAUGCAUAGCCGGCCUGAGAGGGUGACCGGCCACACUGGGACUGAGACACGGCCCAGACUCCUACGGGAGGCAGCAGUAGGGAAUUUUCCGCAAUGGGCGCAAGCCUGACGGAGCGACGCCGCGUGAGUGAAGAAAGCCUUCGGGUUGUAAAGCUCUGUCUUUGGUGAAGAAGAACCUGAGGAAGAAAUGCCUUAGGAGUGACGGUAGCCGAGGAGGAAGCCCCGGCUAACUACGUGCCAGCAGCCGCGGUAAUACGUAGGGGGCGAGCGUUGUCCGGAAUUAUUGGGCGUAAAGGGCGCGCAGGCGGUCUAUACAAGUCUUGUGUGAAAACCUAGGGCUCAACCCUGGGACUGCACAAGAAACUGUUAGACUUGAGGACAGAAGAGGAGAGUGGAAUUCCUAGUGUAGCGGUGAAAUGCGUAGAUAUUAGGAGGAACACCAGUGGCGAAGGCGACUCUCUGGUCUGUAACUGACGCUGAGGCGCGAAAGCGUGGGUAGCAAACAGGAUUAGAUACCCUGGUAGUCCACGCCGUAAACGAUGAGUGCUAUGUGUUGGAGGGUACCACCUUCAGUGCAGCAGUUAACGC
rnacentral:rRNA from 1 species